rnacentral:misc_RNA from 1 species
GAAUGGAUCAUUAUCAGUGUGUGGGAUGUUUGGUCUUUGGAUCUGUGGAUCCAAGAUAAUAAUAUGUGCUUUAUUGUAUUUGUACUAGUUAGAUAAUAAUGUAAAUUACUACCAACAAUGGAUCUCUUGGCUCCCGUAUCGAUGAAGAACGCAGUAAAGUGCGAAAAGGGGUGCGAUAAGCAUGAUCUGUGAGUUCAUUGAAUAUUCGAACGCAAAUUGCGCUAUCAGGACGACUGAUAGCAUAAGCAGUUGAGUGCUGGGUGUAUUUGUCUGAUACAUGAGUAUUAGGAUGUGGCUGUUUUAGUGUAUAUGCUAAACUGGCCUGAAUAUAUCAUUAUAGAGUAAUGAGGUAGAGACUGUGGUCUUUUAUCGUUGCUUUCUAUAAGUGUUUUGUAUUGAUCAAAACAUACUUUGUGGCCUCAGCUGCUUAAGAGUACCCGCUGAACUUAAGCAUAUCAAUAAGCGGAGGAAAAGAAACUAACAAGGAUUCCCUUGGUAACGGCGAGUGAAGGGGGAAGAGCUCAAUUUUUUAAUCAGGCCAUGUCUGAAUUGUAGUCUAUAUGAUUUGGUGGUUGAAGGUGCACAGUGGAUUCAAGUCUUCUGGAAAGGAGCGCCACAGAGGGUGACAGCCCCGUCUGGAUCCAGUUAUGCAUGAUCAACGAACACCGAGUCAAAAGAGUCGAGUUGCUUGGGAUUGCAGCUCUAAUUGGGUGGUAAACUCCAUCUAAAGCUAAAUAAUGGCGGGAGACCGAUAGCGAACAAGUACCGUGAGGGAAAGAUGAAAAGGACCUUGAAAAGGGUGUUAAAUAGAGCGUGAAAUUGUUGAUAGGGAAGCGAUGUAGGUUAUGGGUAGGGGUGGGUUGUUUGGUGUUGCUUUCUAAUUUGGGAGGCAAGAGCAAAUGUAUCACAUUCUGGACUGGCAGGGUUUUAGAUGGGAUGAGAUGGCCUUGGGUAAAGUGACUAGUGUAAUGCUAGUGUUAUAGACCUCAGAGGUUCUAGUCUCAUCUGGAGCUCUAAUUAUGUGUGGAUGAUUGUUUAGGAUUGGUAGUAGCUGGCGAGGACAGCCUGCAUGCAGAUGACUCUCUCGGAUGCUACCACGAGCAAACAGUCUAUACACAUCACGCUAGAAUGACCUUCAUCGACCCGUCUUGAAACACGUACCAAGGAGUCUAGGGUAUAUGCGAGUAUUUGGGGAUUGUAAACUCGAAUGCGGAAUAAAAGUGAAAAGUUGGAGACACUAACUAGUCUAGUCACACAACUGUCGGGAUGAUUCAUUAUCACACCCAGACUUAGCAUAUCCCCUGGGACCCGAAAGACGGUGAACUAUGCCUGGAUAGGAUGAAGCCAGAGGAAACUCUGGUGGAGGUCCGCCGCCGUUCUGACGUGCAAAUCGAUGGUUGAAUUUGGGCAUAGGGGCGAAAGACUAAUCGAACCGUCUAGUAGCUGGUUCCCUC